UGCUAUCGACCAUGUUUUCCUUCUUUUGUCUCUUAAUUCUGUUUCUUUAUGCAGAAAGUAAUUCACAGGUGCAGCAGUCGGCAGAAGUAACAUCUCUGGAAGGACAGAAUGCAGCAAUCUCAUGUAACCACACCAUCUCCAACUACGACAGACUGUACUGGUAUAAAGAGCAUGAUGUUAAGGGACUGGAGAUAAUCAUAUCUGGCUAUAGAACUACAGAACAUAAUGGACCAUUCAGUUUGGUGUUCAGUACAGAUAAGCUCUCUGCAACACUUCACAUCAAGGAUGUACAGGUUGCCCAAACUGGGACAUAUCACUGUGCUCACUGUGAUAAUAAUGUCAAUAAAUUGGUCUUUGGGAAAGGAACCCGACUGCAUGUGACACCAAAAAUUCAUGAACAUACGACUCCUUCUGUGUACAUUUUGAAAUCAAACGAAAAUAAAGGACAGCUACCAAGUUCUGUGUGUCUGGUCACUGAUUUCCCAUCUUCCAGUGGAUCAAUACGCGGAUAUCAAUAUGAUGAAAAAUCUGAAAGAGAACGGAAUGAUACAUUGUUGCUGGACAGUUCUGGACAGGAGUGGAGAUAUGGUUCUAUUUUUUGGGAUGAUAAACCAUUAGAUGAACCUAAGUGCAAUGUCAAAUACAAUGAUGGCCAGCUACAAACCAAAGCAGAUACUCAUACAGACAAAUGUUCAGAAUCAUCAAAUCAAGAUUACUAUGAAACAGAUGAAAGAAUAAACACAACAUCUCUCACAGUGUUUGGACUGAGACUGCUGACAGUCAAAGCCAUAGUAUUCAAUAUGAUCAUAACCCUACGACUUUGGUCAUCGUAAGGGUAUGAUUUUACGUGACCUGGAAACAACAAUCAAUACAGAAAGUGUCAUUGUCUCUUCUUUGUCACCCUUAUCAAAUAAUUAAUUUCUAAAUAGACUUGCUGUAAAUGUACAUAAUGUAAAGUUAAUACAGUAUAAUUAAUUCCACUCAGUUUCAAGCAUACUAUAAUAACAUAGUUGUAUUACUUAAAAGAAAACAUUGUUUAUGAUCUCUGAAGAUAGAUUGUGGUUUAUACUUAUACUUCACUGAAUGCAUAUAUCAUAUCUGUUUUUUAUGUUUAAAGCUUUCUCCUUUAAAUGUUUAUCUCUGUCUUCAGACUUAUUUGUCUAAUUUCAAAUAUUGUCAACUCCUUCCUGAAAAAAUCUUUUCAAUUCCAAAUAGAUUUGAAAACAAAAAAAUCAAUAACCGAUAUUGCACUUUAUUGAAAAUGUAAAAUAUAUGGUUGUCAAUAACUCUCAUUAUAGAAGUCUUAACCCCUUAAGGACCAAACU